rnacentral:piRNA from 1 species
UAAGCAACCAGAAAGGUGAGGCCAGA